AAAUGGAUAUUAUUAGACUGGGU
rnacentral:snRNA from 1 species